CCCAACAGCACCAUCCACGGAAUCUAGAGACAAGGAAGAUAAGUGCCCAGAACUGACAUUAAGGACAUAAACAUUCCACUUGGUUACUUGUACAGCUUUUUUGAAAAAAAUAAAUUCAACACAUGGAAGGUCAUGAGAGGAAGUAGGGACAGAAGGUCAGCUAAUAGUGCAUAUGGAGGACAAUACAGGACUUGCAAUGCGGCCAUGGAGAAGACAAGGAAACUGUAUUCCUAUAUGCUUUGUAUGAAGAAAUGAUCUAAGAGUGAGGAGUCCACUAAGGGUUAGUUUGACCAAAGUUGCAAAGUCGGAUCUAAGCUUACAUUGAAGACAAAAGUGUUGAAUCAGGAGAGUUGUGAAAGAUAUGGUUCUUUUUUUCCCUUUUUUCUUUUCUUUUCUUUUUUUGGGUUAGAUUGCAAGGGAGU